rnacentral:rRNA from 2 species
GGCGGACGGGUGAGUAAUGUCUGGGAAACUGCCUGAUGGAGGGGGAUAACUACUGGAAACGGUAGCUAAUACCGCAUAACGUCGCAAGACCAAAGUGGGGGACCUUCGGGCCUCAUGCCAUCAGAUGUGCCCAGAUGGGAUUAGCUAGUAGGUGGGGUAACGGCUCACCUAGGCGACGAUCCCUAGCUGGUCUGAGAGGAUGACCAGCCACACUGGAACUGAGACACGGUCCAGACUCCUACGGGAGGCAGCAGUGGGGAAUAUUGCACAAUGGGCGCAAGCCUGAUGCAGCCAUGCCGCGUGUGUGAAGAAGGCCUUCGGGUUGUAAAGCACUUUCAGCGGGGAGGAAGGCGAUAAGGUUAAUAACCUUGUCGAUUGACGUUACCCGCAGAAGAAGCACCGGCUAACUCCGUGCCAGCAGCCGCGGUAAUACGGAGGGUGCAAGCGUUAAUCGGAAUUACUGGGCGUAAAGCGCACGCAGGCGGUCUGUCAAGUCGGAUGUGAAAUCCCCGGGCUCAACCUGGGAACUGCAUUCGAAACUGGCAGGCUAGAGUCUUGUAGAGGGGGGUAGAAUUCCAGGUGUAGCGGUGAAAUGCGUAGAGAUCUGGAGGAAUACCGGUGGCGAAGGCGGCCCCCUGGACAAAGACUGACGCUCAGGUGCGAAAGCGUGGGGAGCAAACAGGAUUAGAUACCCUGGUAGUCCACGCCGUAAACGAUGUCGAUUUGGAGGUUGUGCCCUUGAGGCGUGGCUUCCGGAGCUAACGCGUUAAAUCGACCGCCUGGGGAGUACGGCCGCAAGGUUAAAACUCAAAUGAAUUGACGGGGGCCCGCACAAGCGGUGGAGCAUGUGGUUUAAUUCGAUGCAACGCGAAGAACCUUACCUGGUCUUGACAUCCACAGAACUUUCCAGAGAUGGAUUGGUGCCUUCGGGAACUGUGAGACAGGUGCUGCAUGGCUGUCGUCAGCUCGUGUUGUGAAAUGUUGGGUUAAGUCCCGCAACGAGCGCAACCCUUAUCCUUUGUUGCCAGCGGU